CUCCUUUCCCCCGCUUUUUUUCCCAAGCCCACAAUUAGUUCCCUCUCUUCAACUCACAAAUUAGGGUUUAGUUUCCUUUUUCAUAAUAGCAGGGCUCAAUUCCCUCUCGUCAUCAUCAUCUCUACAAAAUAAUUCGGCGCAAUCCGAACAAUAAAGGUGAUGCACAUCCAUCGCAAGAUAAAUCCUCCACCAGUGCAAAGGUCUGGUGAGCUGUAUGAUAGCAUUGAGGAGAAGCUAUAACCAUUGAAGAAUAUUUGCAGCAUUGAAUCCAGUUGGAUUGAAACAAAAAAAUGGUAGCCUUCAGAACAAAUGAACAUGGUUAGUUCAAUGACAUCUGGCUAUAUGGCUAUAGAAUGAUACUGCAAUAUAAGAAACAACAAAGAUCCCUGGCAUUCUUAUUGUGAGAAUUGAUUCUGCUAGCAACUUUUCUAACUCCAAUUACAUGAACUACAGUUGCUACUGAUACAUAUACUAGGGGAAUCCAUGCCUUCAAAGAUUUGAUUAUGUCCUCAAGAAAUGAGAUGUUUUCUUGACAGUGAGUCUACUUUACUUGUGAAGUAAGAGGAUCAUCGAGUGACAUCAAGAGUAUCAUUGGGUGACAACAAUAUAAAUCGCCAAGCAAAUACAUAAUACUAUAAGUUUCCAUUCCGAAUAAUACAUAUUUGAGUUACCUUGCAUGAGUUAGUAUUAGUUUAGUUUGAUAGGGAUUUGAACAACUGAUGUUUGUUAAUUGUUAUUAUGGUUAUUUGUAACGAUGAUGGGGAUUUGAACAAUUGAUGUUUGUUAAUUGUCAUUAUGGUUUGUAAUGAAGUUUGAUUUAUGUUA